UUAAGGAAAGAAAGUACUCAAUUAGAGAGAGAAACUGAUUAUAGGUUUCCUAGAGCUUACACGUAGUGAUGGCUGCUCCUCGGGAACUACCUUUGAAAGAGGGUUAAGGAAGAUCCAGCCAGCUUCUCACACCACUGCACUUCCCUCUUCAUCACCUUGGCUUUGCUCUUCCCAGAAUGGAACUGUUUAAGUCCCUGACCUACCCCAAAGCAGGUGCCUUUUGGGUCUUCUACACUGUGACUCCUCACUGACUGGCAUCUCAGAAGGCAGAUGUUAGAACGUAGAAGGCUCAGGCACCAGACAGAGACACCUCUGAAAAACUUGCUCAGCUUUUAACAGCAGACUGAGUUCAAAUCUCUUUGUACAGGAGCCUAACUAAAACCAGUAGGUGGAGACCACAGGGUGCCAGGCGCUAUGAAGAAUCGGUCCAGUGGUUGGAGACCUUUGUGGUUGGAGACCUUUGUGGUUGGAAUGGCUGCCUAAAGAGGUGGUGAGGUCCUGUUACUGUGCCAACACCAAGACCGUUCCACAGGGGAGAGAAGGAGGCAGAUGUUGUUGGAUGUUCUUCUCGACUGGAAAGUUUCACAUCCGUUAGGGAAAAGGACAUCUGAGUGAUGGGGAUAUGGUACCCGUGAGGCAGUGGCCGAUGGUUCUUGCCUCCUUUCAAACUCAGAACGUUAUCAGUCAAGAGUCUGAUCUACUUAUUGAUAUCCCUUAAUAAAUGGAAACUCCCUGGGUGGCCGGAGUCAGAAUACAUUGCUCCUUGAGUUAAUCUCCUCCACUCCCGUGUAUGCUUCCUCAGUGGCUGUGCGUUUCUGGUGUUGGUGUGGUAGUGUCUCAUCUGAGAAUUUAUGCCUUCUGUGGCUCGGGCCUGUGCCUGGCUGUAAAUAAAAGAGUUGCUUAAGAAAUCA